GUCUAUGCCCAUAUCACUCUGAAUACUCCUGAUCUCAUCUGAUCUCAGAAGCUAAGACAUGUGGAUACAUGAACCAUCAGGAUAGAAA
rnacentral:rRNA from 1 species